UUGCUUCAGCAGCAAAUAUACUAAAAUUGGAACAAUUCAGAGAAGGUUAGCAUGGCCUCUGCGCAAGGAUGACACACAAAUUCUUGAAGCUUUCCAUAUUAAA